rnacentral:tRNA from 1 species
GACGCUAUAGUGUAGGGGUAGCACGCCUGUCCUUCACACAGGAAGACUGGGUUCAAGUCCCAGUAGCGUUA